rnacentral:rRNA from 1 species
CAGGAUUAGAUACCCUGGUAGUCCACGCCGUAAACGAUGUCGACUUGGAGGUUGUGCCCUUGAGGCGUGGCUUCCGGAGCUAACGCGUUAAGUCGACCGCCUGGGGAGUACGGCCGCAAGGUUAAAACUCAAAUGAAUUGACGGGGGCCCGCACAAGCGGUGGAGCAUGUGGUUUAAUUCGAUGCAACGCGAAGAACCUUACCUGGUCUUGACAUCCACAGAACUUUCCAGAGAUGGAUUGGUGCCUUCGGGAACUGUGAGACAGGUGCUGCAUGGCUGUCGUCAGCUCGUGUUGUGAAAUGUUGGGUUAAGUCCCGCAACGAGCGCAACCCUUAUCCUUUGUUGCCAGCGGUCCGGCCGGGAACUCAAAGGAAACUGCCAGUGAUAAACUGGAGGAAGGUGGGGAUGACGUCAAGUCAUCAUGGCCCUUACGACCAGGGCUACACACGUGCUACAAUGGCGCAUACAAAGAGAAGCGACCUCACGAGAGCAAGCGGACCUCAUAAAGUGCGUCGUAGUCCGGAUUGGAGUCUGCAACUCGACUCCAUGAAGUCGGAAUCGCUAGUAAUCGUGGAUCAGAAUGCCACGGUGAAUACGUUCCCGGGCCUUGUACACACCGCCCGUCACACCAUGGGAGUGGGUUGCAAAAGAAGUAGGUAGCUUAACCUUCGGGAGGGCGCUUACCACUUUGUGAUUCAUGACUGGGGUGAAGUCGUAACAAGGUAACC